UAGACAGGACUGAGUAGGGUAGCCGGUUUUCUCAAUCCAAAAUCUCGAUUAAACACGAUUCGACUUAUAAUUUUGUUUACUGUGUUGAUUCUACGUCUGGGUAUCCUGUGCACACACUCCAUCUACUUAAUUUGAUCCACAUCCUCAAGAAAUAUACUUGGUUGUGUACCGUCACCUUAAGCAGGAUUGCUACACUGAGUAAAGUCCUAAGGAUGUUUUGGUACCAUCUCGACAGUCUCAAGUUGCCAAGAAGAAUGAAAACUACGCUUAUCGGAGAUUACUGAAGGUGGUUACCGGAUUGAGAAAACACGAGUGCUGUGAAAUGACAGACUGGAGAAAGACUAGUAGUAGUUUGAAGAAAGACUGCUGACAUUACCGGUGCGUUUACAAGAUCGAACUAUGUUCGACGGACAAAAUCGUUACCAUAUCACAGGAGAAGCAGAAUGACGUCAUAAGCGGUGAAACGAUUAAAGCGGAUCUGGCAACAGGCAGUGUUUACCACCGUUUCGAAUCUGCUCACAGGGCAUAGACCGGUGGACAAUGUUUGAAGGUGAUGUCCGUUGGUAACUCAGGCAUUUAAUUCAGUGUGGGGCCUUAGACGACUGGUGCAGUACAUCACUACCGUGGUACACAGGAAAAGAAAAAAAAAAGGCCAAAAAAAAUUGCACUAUGAUAAUUGCUGUACUCUGUGAGGAGGAGGAGGAGAUGCCAAGAAGGGAAUGGUGCAAGGACUGGUUGCACAAACUAAAUGAAGUGGGAAGCCAUGCAACCAUUUUCCAAGAAUUGAAAACUGGCUAUGAAUCGGACUUCACAAACUAUAUGCGCAUGGACUCAAAUACUUUCUACGAUUUAAUGGAAAAGGUUAAACCUGUUAUAACCAAGCAGGACACCUGUAUGAGUAAGCGCAUUUCACCUGCAGCACGUCUGGAAGUAACGUUGAUGUAUCUUUCCACCGGGUGCUCCUACAGUGCCCUUCAAUACUGUACAAGAAUUUCAAAACCGAGUCUGUCUGCAAUCAUUCCUGAUACGUGCAAAGCCAUCUGUGAUGUGCUUAAGGAUCCAUACUUAAAAGACACCCCAAACAGCGGAGGAGUGGAUGCGUGUAGCAGAGGGGUUUUCCAAGAAGUGGAACUUUCCUAAUUGCAUCGGAGCAGUUGACGGGAAGCACAUCCUGAUAAGGCCACCACCUGAUAGCGGCUGCUCCUACUACAACUACAAAGGAAGCCACAGCAUCGUGUUAAUGGCCGUCUCCAAUGCAGACUCAAACUUCAUAUAUGUCGACGUGGGCACUAAUGGACGAGUGUCGGAUGGUGGAGUUUGGGAUACCUGUUCUCUCAACCAGCAUAUUGAAGCAGAAGCGUCAUAUCUUAUAACCUUUCUCUCAUCGAAAUCAAAACCUUGAGCAACGUGUGUUUUCCUACCAACUGUCAAGAGCUCGACGCACCGUAGAAAACGCAUUCGGAAUACUUGCUAACAGAUUUGAAGUGUUUCAUAAACUCAUUAACCUUGAACCAACAAAAGUAGUACAAAUAGUACUUGCUUGCACUGCACUACAUAAUUACCUUCGCACAGCACCUGUCGCCCCAAAUGUGUGUUCGGAUGCAAAUAACGAAAACACUGACGACAUCCCUGGAAUGCUACCGCUUGAGUAUUAGCAACAAAACUCCACCAUCCAUGGAACAAUUGUACGCAAUCUGUAAAUGAAAUAUUUCAAUGAGGAAGGUGCUGUGAUCUGGGAAAACAGACAUACAUGAGGCUAAGUUACAAUAACUCCUGAGUAAAAUUAUAAU